UUUUGAAUGUAGUCAAUGGUCAUCAUAUUGAAACACUCGAAAUUUUAUCCUCUAGGCUGAAGAAUAUAUUACCAUUUCUUACAAAUUUGAUGACAGGAAUUAACAUUAUGGGUAUCAUGGUAG